UUUCGGGUCGUAAACUUUUGUCUUUCGGGAAGAAAAAAAUGACGGUACCGAAGGAGGAAGCCACGGCUAACUACGUGCCAGCAGCCGCGGUAAUACGUAGGUGGCGAGCGUUGUCCGGAAUUACUGGGUGUAAAGGGUGCGUAGGCGGGGAUGCAAGUCAGAUGUGAAAGACCGGGGCUCAACUCCGGGGCUGCAUUUGAAACUGCAACUCUUGAGUGCAGGAGAGGAAAGCGGAAUUCCUAGUGUAGCGGUGAAAUGCGUAGAGAUUAGGAGGAACACCAGUGGCGAAGGCGGCUUUCUGGACUGUAACUGACGCUGAGGCACGAAAGCGUGGGGAGCGAACAGGAUUAGAUACCCUGGUAGUCCACGCUGUAAACGAUGGAUACUAGGUGUAGGGGGUAUCGACCCCCUCUGUGCCGGAGUUAACACAAUAAGUAUCCCACUGGGGAG
rnacentral:rRNA from 1 species